rnacentral:lncRNA from 1 species
AUACAGUGGUGCCCCGCAAGACGAAUACCUCGCAAGACGGAAAACCCGCUAGACGAAAGGGUUUUCCGUUUUUGAGUUGCUUCGCAGGACGAAUUUCCCUAUGGGCUUGCUUCGCAAGACGAAAAUGUCUUGCAAGUCUUGAGAUUUUUUUUUCGCUUUUCGCCCCCUUUAUCUAAUCUGCUAAACCUUUAAUAGCCUUUAAUAGCCUUUUAGCAGCUAAUCCGCUAAGCCUUUAAGCCUUUAAUAGCCGCUAAACCGCUAAUAGCGCUAAUCCGUUAAGCCGCUAAUAGGGUUGCUUCGCAAGACGAAAAAACCGCUAGACGAAGACUCUCGCGGAACGGAUUAAUUUCGUCUUGCGAGGCACCACUGUAC